rnacentral:lncRNA from 1 species
CAGGUCCAGAAAUCAUUUUAUUUUUUAAUUUUUUACUGGCUAUAACUAUUUCAGUUUCUUGAACAGGAUAAAAAUUUAGACAUUCAGUGUUGACCGCUAAGACAUUAUUGGUAGUUAGUACAUUAGCUGCUUGAUAAACAUUAUUAAAGUAUUCAGCGAAGAUAUCAACGAUAUUUUGUGGUUCAGAAGUAGCAAUGCCUUAUAAUGGGAUUUAUCUCAUUAUUUAGAUAUUUUAGAAAUCCUUAAAUUACCUUAAAGUAUUCGUUAGAUAUUUAUUUAUGAAACAGUAAACAUUACGCAUAUUUGUUAUAAUAAUUGCAAAGUAGAACACCUUAGCUGAAUUACACGUUUUGCUUACUCAACAAGGUUGUGACUAUUCAUUUGACACACUAACGAGAAUAUAUACAAACAUAUUUACAUAACGAAGUAUUUGAUAAAUAUGGGAACACGAUCAGAUUUGAGGGAUUAGUGGGUCAGUCGAAUGAGUUAGUUAGGUUUGAGAGGUUGCUGCCGUUAGAGCAGAAUAAUGUCACCUAUCAACUGAAUACAUUUAUAUGGUAUUAGUUUAAUCAAAUAAAGUAGUAAUGAGUACAUAGUGUAUUCCUGAUAGUCAACCCCAUUCCAGUAUAGUAAAUAUCCAGCAACCACCAUAGCCUUAAUAUUUCAUUUCACCAGGAAUCCGUGAAGUGUUAUUUUUAGCAUUUAUAUAUGACCAAAACUUUCUAGAGUUUACAGAAAGGAAUACUUGUACAUUUUCGAUGUAUUCGUUGUAUGCCAAUUUAAUUUUUAGUUUUGAAAGAUAUCUUAAGCGCUGAAAUUCAAGCAGAUCAGAUUGGUUUUUAUGUAGUCUAAAUUUCUUCCUGUGCUUAACCUUUAGUUUGAUACAGCGAAUAAUAUCGACAUCAAACCAAGGUGGAUAUGUGUGGCUGAAGUUUUUGUAGACAGGAACAUACUUAUUAA